AGCGAUAUGAAGAUAAUUUCAACUUUUUUUAUAUAGUGGCACAAUAACCUGUUACGAGGGGUAGGAGGGGAAAAGGAAAAAAGAGGGGGGAAAAGGCAAAUUAGAGCUUGAAUUCUCAUUUAUUGUGAUGUGUAAUGUAUCAUGAAUCCAUAUACUAGUUUAAUGUGUGUUGUUUAGGUCACGGGGUUCAUUUCAUGCAAAUUAAAAAUGUAUAGUUUUCUCCUGAAACCUUUCACGUUAAUAAUUACAUUUACGUCAUUUCCUCUAGGUUACGCAUGCGUAGCAAGAGCCUAUAAAUAAUACCGGAAACCUGCGCUCUUCCUUUUCAAACAAACAUUUGGUUGUCGUCGUGUGUGUGUACGCGCGCGCUUGUUACGAGGGCUAAGCUAACUUGACACGAACAAACGUUUUACGUUUAAACGACUUAAUGAAGCAGUUUUAUUAGGUCUGCUCCACUAGGUCGUUUUUUAAUGGUAAGAAUUAGACUUUGAAGAUGAUUUCUGUUAGUGCACGUAAUUGUUUGUUCAGUCUGCUUUUCGUUCGGGUUAAAUGUACUGGACUGAUAACACAACAUUGUUACUUUUUUGGUUGUGUCGACAAUUAUGUAUUUUAUUUACGUCAUUUUCUCUUGAUAGUUUGCGCGUGCAUAGCAAGAGGCGGCAUUUAAAUUAAACCGGAAAUAUUGCUCUCGUUUAUCAAACAUUUAGUCGCCCUCGAGUGUGUAUGUUUGUGUUAAUAUGUGACACAGUGAUGUGUUCUGCUAAUCUGCAGGUUCUUCCAAGCUGUGGACGUGUGAGGUGUUUGGCCUUCCACCGUGACGGCAUGCAGAGACCAACACAAGUUUUUUUUAUUCCAGCUCAUUGUUGUCAGUCAUUGUGCCUUGUAUGCUAUUGUCAUUGUCUUAACAAAUAGUGCAGUGGAGAAGAGUUGUGAACACAGCAGCUUGGACUCUGCCAGAGUGGAUCUUGCAUUUUGUAGUGCAUAGUAACGAUGACACAUGCAGCAGACCGGUGGACUCCAUGACGCCAAGAAGUCCGAAGCAUCUGGAUUCUGUUUUAUUGUCACAGGAAGUCGGAGCCCAUGACCAAAGAAUAGCCUGUGAGGAGGUUGCAGGAACGCUGCCAUCUAAGUGGAAAAGGAAGCAGAAGAAAGAGGUUUAACCAAGUUGCUGCACUCCUGAUGAUGGGGCCAUGGUUGAAUCCUGUGAGCACGUAAUGUAACAUGUAUUUGUAAAUGUUUUGGUAAUAAAAGGCUAACGUUA